rnacentral:rRNA from 1 species
CCCUUAGACGUUCUGGGCCGCACGCGCGCUACACUGACACAGGCAACGAGCUUUCCUUUACCGAAAGGUAUGGGUAAUCUUUUGAAACUGUGUCGUGCUGGGGAUAGAUCCUUGCAAUUUUUGAUCUUAAACGAGGAAUUCCUAGUAAGCGCGAGUCAUCAACUCGCGUUGAUUACGUCCCUGCCCUUUGUACACACCGCCCGUCGCUACUACCAAUUGAAUGGCUUAGUGAGGCCUCAGGAUCCGCGCUUAAUGUGUGGAGAAUUUGGACAAACUACGUCAUUUAGAGGAAGUAAAAGUCGUAACA